rnacentral:ncRNA from 1 species
AAGAGCUGUAUGCGUGAAAACCGCACGUAUGGUUCUGUGAAGGGCGGGCGGUGCAACUGCCGCUCCGUCUACUCUACCUAUUUCGGACUGUCAAAGAAGUGACCCCCGAUUCCUGC